rnacentral:tRNA from 1 species
GAGAUGUUAGUAUAAUAUUUUAGUAUGUUUUAUUUUCAAUAAAGAGGAGUUUCAUCUUG